CUCCUGCUUCAGCUUCCCAAGUAGCUGGGAUUGCAGGCUUCCAUCACCAUGCCGGGCUAAUUUUUGUAUUUUUAAUAGAGACAGGGUUUCACCAAGUUGGCCAGGCUGGUCUCAAACUCCUGACCUCAAGUGAUCCGUCUGCCCCAGCCUCCCAAAGUGCUGAGAUUACAAGCAUAAGCCACCAUGCCUGGCCGCCACUGGAUUUUUUAAGAGUAUUCACAUACUGGAGAGGACUGCUUCCUCUAGCACCGAGCCCUCUGUAAGUCGGCAAUUGCUAGAACCGGAGCCAGUCCCCCUCUCCAAGGAAGCUGACAGCUGGGAAAUUAUAGAAGGGCUGAAAAUAGGCCAAACCAAUGUCCAGAAACCAGACAAACAUGAGGGCUUUAUGCUGAAGAAAAGAAAAUGGCCUUUAAAAGGCUGGCACAAGCGUUUUUUUGUCCUGGAUAAUGGAAUGUUAAAGUAUUCAAAGGCACCACUCGAUAUUCAGAAAGGAAAGGUCCAUGGGAGCAUAGAUGUGGGACUCUCAGUCAUGUCAAUUAAAA
rnacentral:sRNA from 1 species